AGCAGAUGUAUAGGUGUUCCUUUGAGAGGGUCAGGAUUUAGCCAUGCAGAUGUAUAGGCCUGAGGUACUGGUAUUUCCUGAGGGCCACAUAUGAAAGUGACAGGAUAAGCUGCCUUCCUCCUUUCCUUUUCUUCUUUGCCAGGUAAGUCCUACAUCCAGAUCUUUAAAUCCCACUGAGCCUUUUGCACUGUUUCAGAUAUUUCGGAUAAAAUAUAUGCGAUCAAAAUCUCAGAAAUAUGUUCAAAUGACCUUAAAACCAGUUUUGCAACUGUGAUUUACAUGGAGAGGCUGCAAGUGUGAUUACCUUUGCAGGGAUAUGAAUAAGUAAUAAAAGAAUAGAAAGAAUAACAAUUUUGCGAGUUUUGUAUGUGGAGUUAUGAUGGAACUGGAAAUAUUGAACUUGGCAAUGUAAACCACUAUCUGCAGAACUUAAUAUAAAGAAAUUUGUGGCAGAUGUAUCUGAGAUAAAAAUAGAUUAAAAAGGGGGGAGAAAACUUAGAAGAUCAAUAGCAAUCACUCUGGGUUUUUAUGCUCAGUCGAGAAGGGGCUGGAGGAGCACAAGUAUGAAAAUAUGGCUCUUAACAUUCAAUAAAAGGCCUGUACAUUUACUGAAGAAUCUACAAGCAUAUUAACUUGACAUCACUGACGAGUAGAAGAUGAAUUGCUGAGGGUGAAGUUUGCUGAGAGUAUAUUUAUUAUAAUAACCUGUUGAAAUGAAUCUUUGCCUUGCUUAGCAUAUAAAGAUCCCGCCCCCCCUUGGGAAGGCUAAACAGCAAGAAAGGCUCUUCUUUAUCAUUACAGCCAAUUCAGCAUUUUCAAAGUACAUCAUUGUACAACCAGACCAGGGAUGUGUUGCAAUGUGUAGGAAAUGCUAUCAUUUGGGAGAUUUUUUGCAGAGUGACACCCUAGAAGCACUUGCCUGUAUCAAGAGAGAAAAUAUGAAUUGUCACGCAGUACGUAUAGAACGUAUAGUAUGUAUAGCAGGGGUACCUUUACCUUUACCUUUUUACGUAUAGAAUAGUAGGGCAAAUUUAACUGUACUGAAUUUAACUGUAUUGUAAUAGAUUGUUAAAUAAUCUAAAACAGUCAGUCUCGAAAGCAUGGGCUUUUUAAAAGCAGCAGCUAUCAUGCAUCCCAUUUAGAAAAGGAACAGUCCACCCAGCCCUAUGACUCUGAUUGCAAACGAUUAAUACGGAAACCCAGUUCAGUACCUGUGAGUUCUGAAUGCAUAAAGGGGUUCUCUAAAAUGGCCCUGGCUAGUCCUGCCUCUAAGCCUAGAUUUAUGUGUUGGCCGUGCUCCCUGGCUGGUGUGAAAUUAGGGGCCUAAAUGGGAUCCUCAUAACAGAGGGUCCUGGUUGUGCUCAGGCCCCGGGGCUCACCCCCUAAAAGGAUAAAUUGGUGGAGGGAGUAUCAGGAAGUCCUGGCUUUUGCCCUGGGAUCACGCCAGGCUGUUUUAGCCAAUCGCCAGAGGGUGGCAUGAUCCCAGGGGCUUUAAAAUUGGCAGUGUGACGCAAGCAGGGGGCACUUGCAUCGCGCUGCCGAACACCCACCCACGCUCCCUAGUUUUAGGUAGAGUCGCUUGGCCUUGCUUUGGUUUGGGUCGCCUGUUUUGGAACAGGGGCUGGGUAGGAUUUUUUUCCAUUUGGCAGAUUGCCUUUAGCCAUUUGGUUUUUUCCUAGCCCUUAGCAAUCGUCACAACUUGUAAGGUGGCAGUUAGACAUUGGCUCAGUUGGAUUGUAGGGAGGGGAGGUGCGGCCAUCACCUGCCCCUCCAGGAUCUGGGUAUUCCAUUAAAGGAAUCUAGGGGUCCUGGGUCUCAUCCAAAGUCUGCUUGAGGGGCUAGGUCCAUGCCAGGACCACAGGAACCCCGGGAUGAGCUUCGGUUGGUCCUCAUUGACCUUGCUCCCUCAUUUGGUUUACCCUGUUGGAUGAUCACCCAGAGAGGUGAAGUCAGUUAUAGUGCGGAGUCAAUGCCUAAGCCAAUACUGCUCACGUGAUUGUAUUUCAAUAAAGUUGUGGCCAAAAAUUUGCCCCAAAACUUAAAACUAAAAUAAGUGUCCAUGUGAAGUUAUUUUGGGGGGUGGGUCCUGGGGCCUCGGGGCGCAAACAUUUAUAGGCAUGUCUUCAUGGAGAAAGCCCUUUAGAGUUUUGUUUCCUUUGAAUGAGAUUGCACAGAAGACUUUUGGUAAAUAUUUGUAAGAGGGCUGGACCUACCAUUAGGCAGAUCAAAACAGCCACCUCAGGCAGCUGAUUUUGGAUGCCAUGCUAAGGCAGCAAAAUCAAUAGCCAUUCUUUGGUAUGCCAUCCACAACAUCAGCUGCCCAUUCACCGGCUCAUCUUCGAAUGUGACAUAUGCAUUCUACAUGGAGCAAAAACGUCAGUGUCUGUGUGAAAAGGCAAAAGGGCACAAAUCUGACAUCAGAAAUCACAAUAUUUAAAAUCCAGUGGAGGGAAUAUUUGAUCUUCCUUGGACGCUCUGUAACCGAUCUUCUUGAACCAAGAAACUUCAAAGGAAGCUGUGUGUGAAGCCACUGAAUUGUGAUUCAUGAAGAGGUUCUGGCCCUCCCAUGAGGCAAGAUGAAGCCGCACUUGGGUGGGUGCCCCACUUGCGCCACUGCCUCUGUCGCAAGCACAGAAGCAGUGCCACUUUCUGAUGAGAUCCGGCAAGAUCUUGGGGAGCACAAGAAACCUUGUGAUAUUCUGAGAAACGGGCUUAUGUUCCACAAAACAACUGUUUUGUGAAUGACCGUGGUUGAUAACAUAAUUACCUGUACUUUUGAUAUUUCAUUUCCCUCUAUUCUCACUGUUCGCAAUUUCCCUCCGUGUAUUCUGAGUGUGUAACUCAGAAAAAACACUUUAAACAUCUGAAGUGAACUGUAGUCCGUGAAAGCUUAUGCCACAAUAAAUGUGUUAGUCUUUAAGGUGCCACAAAACUCUCCAGCAGGCCAACCCUUCUAGAUAUACCGGUAGUAUUUUUCCUGUGGGGUGAGGGGAGGGACAGAUGCAGGAGGCAUAUUAAUACAAGCUGUAUAAAUCCUAUUUGCUUUUCAGACUUGCCAUUUGUUUCUCUUGCACCCAAAGAUACACCCUGCUCCCCUGCAGUGCGCUGGUUUCACACCCCAACUGUGCAUAUGAACUACCAUUCAAUAAACUAUAUCCUGUCCAGUGGCUCCCAUUGAGAGAAUUUCACCCAAGCAUCUUUCUUAGUAAGCAAUCCACUUUACAAAGGAUGGCCUGUCAGCAGCUAUCACACCAUCUUUACAAGAUGCAUCUUUGCAGCCCCAGCUGCAAUAAACCAUGUCUCUCUGGUAUUGGUCUCUACAGCCACAGCAGGCGCUGUGACUCUCAAACGGUUUGACUUUACCCCCAAUGAUGCAUUCUCUCAUUGUCUCUUGAGACAGGCGGAUGCCAACACCUUUCCCAGGAUGUUCACUGCAUAUUUGUAGCCUGAUAUUAAGAUGUCAUUGCCUAGAAACAAGGCAUAAACUCUAAAAGAACACUGAACACUGAAUAUUACAUUUCUUUUACAAGAUCAGUUUCCAUGGAAAUGAAGGGUUUACCUCCCCCCGCCCUUUCUCUCUGUAGUAGGGCUUGAUUCAAGCAAGUAUAACAUAAACUUGUAUUUUUAAAAUAAGCAACACUUGGGAAGCAAUGCCUAGCAUUAUAAGAGUGCUGACUUAUCACAUAUGUAUUAUUCCUUUUUCUACACAGCUCAGGGAAGUGUGUGUCAGGUUUUGCCCAGCUGUACUUUUGGAACAAAACCAUGAGAUAGGUGAGGUUGAGUGUGAUUGGUCCAAAGUCAGCUAAUGGUUUUCAUGACUGAGCAUAAAAGCAAAUCUCCCCAGCUCAUGUCCAACAGACUGCCACAUUAACCAUUUUAACGUUGUGUGCAUAGAUUAUUUUUUUUGCUUGUCCUUCCACCAAGGAGUUCCUGGUUGUCUAUAUGGUUCCUCCACCCCUUGCAUUUAUCUUUGCAACAACUGAAAAACCACUUAUUGCCCAUUCCAGUGAACUUCAUGGCUGAAGAAAAUAAAAUUAGGAGUUUAUUUUCAUAGUGGGGCUGUUUUGAGGGGGGGGGAACCAACCUCCUUUUGUCAGCAUCUUGAAAUAUCAGUGGAAUCUACAUGCGUAUAAAAAUCGUUCUGAAAAUGCUUUUUUUAAAGCGGUUGGUUUUUUUUAAAAAAAAAUGAAUUUUCCAUAAGGCUCACCAUCGCCAUCUAGUGUCGCAUUGUAUAUUGCACUUAAAACACACUUUAAAGUUUUAUUUGCAAUAGUAUAGCUGAGUCAAUCUCCUUUGUUUGGGGUUCAUUUUAGAUGCUCAGCUUUUUUUGCAUUUUUUGUUCAUGCCCACUUUUGGCCACCUGGUAUGUUGGCCAAAGGUGAAUACAAUCCUUGCACCCCAAAAAAGCAAGCCACUCCUUUCCUACAGAAUCUCUGGACUCACAUAGUAGCUCUGGAAACGUGGUGCUCUUGAUCCCAGAAGAUUUCCUAUAGCGAUAAUGCUGAUCUUCCUAAUUACCCGGUUCCAUAGUUUGCACAUCUUUCCAACUUCUACUUCUUGGUUGCGUCACAACCAUUCCCCAGAGAAGUUACGCUGGCUUAAAAUGUAAAAUGAGCUCCUGCUCCUGUAUCAUCUGCAUUCAGCAAACCAAGACCCCAUGGACAAUUGCUUUGUUAUUCAAUGCUAGCUAGAAGUGGAUAUAGCUCCAUUUCCUUGAUUUGUUUCUUGCCAAUAUUUUACGUGAUGAUUAUCUGCAGCCUAGGUAUAAAAUCUCCAUUCGUUCCCAGGUUUGUAUGAUGAAGGAGAAAGUUGAAUCUCCAUGUGGCUGGUGCUCAGAGGUGGGUGCAGUUCAGCUGAAACCAAGUUACAAUUCCCAAAUAGUAAUGUGAUAAUGCGCAUGUGUGUGGCACCAUCAGCAUCCAUGCAUCAGCAUGAUGACUCAGGAAAGCACUCGUAGAAAGUUCCUGUGCCAGAGAAAGUUCAGAAGUAGUAAACCACUUUCAAAUCAAAUCGAGGAGGAGCUCAUCUAGCAGUGGUAACACUCUUGUGGGAAUGCUGAAGAUCUCACAAGUCAAAUCGCACACUGCAGCUGCUUGUGGUGGCAAACGGAUUUGUGUCCGUCCAGCUUUCUUUUGUUUCAGAGUUAAGCAUGUGCACAUGAGAUAAGCAUGCAUUUGGAGCAGAGCAAGAGGAGAGGGCUGAAUUCUGUCUCCCCAAGAGACCUUAAUUCUCCGUAAGAGAGGGCAGUCGUGACCAUUUGCCGUGUGAUGCUGUAACAAGCUACACAACAGGAGCGUUCUCGUGAAUUAGUUGUCUUUAUUCUCUUAACCCAAGGGGAUUUUUGUUCUAAAUCCAGCUUUCACCAAGGAGUUUUUGUACAACACCCACGUCUGCUAAAGACUUCAGGCAAAGAAUAUACACUCUUUGUUCUUUUGUGUAACACCUUGCCUUGGAAACCGCAAAAGGAGUAUAAUUCAGAUCAAGCUAUUGGCACAUUUAUUCUUCUGCUUAUGCAAAAGGCUUGCUUCAAUUCAGGCAAUACAAUUACUUUAUAGAGCAAAUAGCUUAUAGACAUUUCUUGGGGAAUGAUAUGGACCAUAAACUAGUAGUUCCUUGACACCCAAUAAUUACCUGGAAAUAACCAUUUCUCAUCACAUGCUAAUAGCACCAAUCUGCUAGCAAGUACAAAGUUUUAGUCAGCCUAGUUGUAUAGAAACAAGGACACAGUGAAAUAUAGCGGAUAUUGACCGAAAUGCUAUCCUAUCCUACAAAAUAGAUUUUUUAAAAUCUGUGACGUGGAAUUUGCUUUCAAAUGGUCUUAAAACUAGUAGGAGGAAAGUAAAUUAGAUGACUGCAAUUUGUUUAAGUCCUGCCUAAAUGACACAUGAGAUUAUGAAAUAUUUAUCUCACUGUGCCACCAGCCAGGCGAAGCACUCAGAGCUGGUAAAACAAAAAUCCUUAAUGAUCAGGAUGAAAUAAGCACUUUCCUCCAUUCCAAAAGAAUUCAGCAGUUCUGUUCUGAAUAGCUCACAAUCAAGAACACAACAAUCUGGGAAUAUUGCUUUGUACAUGAGCUUACGGUAGGUGGAAAUUUCAGCUUUGUUUACCACUUCAAGUUAACAAUGCAAAGCUUAAAGGCCAGAUGUGAACACAGAAAAAGGUUACAGGAUGUCAAAUACUGAUGCAUCUGCCUUUCAGGACAUCUGUCAUGAAGGCAUUUGCGAAGAUCAAGACAGUUCCAUCAUAUAUUUUCAUUCAUUAGUCAUAAACACUAAAUACUUUACUAGCUAAUCAGCUAGUCUUCUGAACUCUUUAUGUGCACUCCAUGCCAUAUUCCUAAAGUUUAGAAAAUGCCACAAAGGUCUGUAAAAGUUGCAAUCUUAUGACCCUGAAACUCUUAACUAACAACAGGGUGAAAAGGCAGAGAAUAAAAAAAUCAUGAGAUUGCGAAUCAAAUUGAAGUUGAAAAUAAAUAUGCACAUUCUUUGAUUGCCUCUUUUAACAAUUUAUUUUAUUAGAGAGUACAGGAGAAAGGAGACUGUAAUCAGGUAGAUUAAUAAGCAGGCUAUUUUCUCAGCGACUGUCUCACAAGGUGCCACCAUAAGAAUAUUUAAGCAAGAUUGCAAUGAUUUUUGGAGGAAAAAAAUAAACUUACUUUCCUCUAAAAGUCGUGAGAGGACAACCUAGAGUACAUUGAGGCAAUUCAUGUUAAAUAAGAUUCUACAGAGAUUAACAGGUGCUCAGCCUUCUGUGUGCAAGCAUGAAAAAAGAACUUUUGGAGGAGGGUGGUGGGAGCCUAAUUACUUUGAGAGAAAAUCCUCCUUUGCACACAGAAGGGUGACCACAUGUUAGCUCCAAUUUAUGCUGAUCCUUGCACAGCAUAUAGUUGGAGUGUGCCUUAUUCUCUGAGUGGCUUCAUGCCUCAGGCAGUUUUCUAAGCCAGGCCCUAGCCAUUUACGGUACUUUGCCUGGAAGAAAAUCCACACGGAAAACAGUAUCAAGCUGGGGAAUGGUACUUGUAUACACCUUGGGGAAUGGAACUGUUAUUAUCUCCCAGUUAUGGACAACAGACUAGAAGCUAAUGAUAUAGAUUCUUGCCCCAUGGGUGCAGCAGGAAGGUGAAAUGAAAUUUCAUAGGACAACCUAUGCAGUGGUGGAGACCUGCAAAUAAAAUAAUAAUCUGCCUGGUGUAUUUAGGUUUCCAGAUUGCAGAAUCCUAAAUCAGGCCAUUCCCGUUCAUGAAUGUUACUUUCUGAACAACCCUUCAAGCCUAAGACUAGUCGAAUCUGAAGACUACAUUGGGACAUAUGCAGUCAUAUGUCUCCUAUGUUCCAUCAAGUGAGACAUGGGGAAAGAUAGAUACUCCCCCCCCCGCCAAAAAAACCCCUCCACAUUCCUCUAACUAAGCUCACAGCAAGAGAUCUGAAUUCUAUUACUGACGUUUGUGAGAUCUGGCCUGCUAAACUGCAACAAUGAGAUUGUGCCUGGGGAUUAUAUCCUUGCAUGCGCCCACUUUCCCCAAGCAUUGAAGAAGAGGGCAGCUAAGGUGGGCAGAGUCAUUUUUCUUCAAAUGGAAGGAUCACUGGAGACUUAAGGUGGCUUGUAAAAAUUGGCUUUAUUUGCAGAUAUGUAGGCUGAGCAUAGGUGAAGAGCAACUCCAUGACAACCCCCGUCAGCACAGCCAAUGGUCAGAGAGCUUGGGGAAGGCAGGGUUAUGAGAUGAGAGAAGGAUUGUCUGUGUUAGAAUUUACUCAGUAGUGGGCAUCUGAUUUGCUUGCACAAGUUCCCAAGUCAAGUCCUUGACUUCUCCACCCAGGGCUGGGGGUGUCCCUUGCCACUGUCCCCUUUCCACCAUCUUGGGUUGAGGGACCAGCUAACCACUAUGCAAGUCUUGGAAGUUAAGAUCUGAAGUGGCAUUUUUGUUCCUGAGCUGAAUGAUGAACGUGGCUGUAGAUUGUUUUCUUCCCACUUAGUAUCUCACCAUUAUGUCUUGAACUUUGCAAACCGACUGCCUAAGUGGCAUCACAGCAUAUAAAGUAGCUUUGCCAACAUGUUUCGUGUUUCUAUUCAGAGGUUGACAAGUUUCCCCACUUUAAGAGUACAGGUGUUUUUUAUGUGUGUGGCUUUUUUUUUUUAAUGCUCUCAGAGCUAUAAUCUGGUUUGGAUGUUUAUUGGUGCCUGUUCUCCCUUGGGUUCCUGUGUCCCAACUUUGACAUGACAAUCAUUUGACUUAGAUCAGAAGGGAUUGGGAAGAUUUAUUAGUCUCAUGUGAAUAAGGGAAAGUUUAAUGACACAGGCUACUGCACAUUAUAAUCUUGCUCAAGCUCAAUGUGACCUAAAAGCUCAAGUUAAAUAUUAGCAUUUGGGGGAAAAACUCUCAUUUGGAUGUCAAGGUUCUUUCUGAUCUAAAAGAACUGUCUGUGGCUCUGAUAGAUCACAGCAGUCCUGUAAGAAACACUGGUUAAUUCUGCAAGUUAAAGGAGCUUAAAGAAACAUCUAGAUUUAAAUCAUUCUAAUGGGACAUUUUCCCCCCAGCCUCAGGAUUACCCAUAGCAGGGAUUCCUGUGCCAAAAUACUAAUUAGUUUGUGUGUGGAAUAUCUGAGAGCCCUGUGCAAAAGGGGAGAAGUGUGGCAAAUGGUAGCUUUUUUGCUCUCCUCUGCAAUUGCGAAGGGGGGAGGGGAAAGCUACCCUUUGAAAGCAUUGCCUGCAUGCCAAGGUUGGGGUUUCAAAACUCAACUACAAGAUGAAGAACUUCCUGAUCACUGGCUUAGGGUGUAGGAGACAUGUUAUUUCCUAACAGCCUUUCUAAGAUCAUUCUCAGUUUUGGAGAUUUGAAUCAUGAUAGUGGUAAGAAACUGGGUUCCACCACUGCCGUCUGUAACUUCCACAAUCCAAAGGUUUUCUGAAAGCUUCUCCAAAGUUGAGGCUGGGUUGAGAAGUUUGCAUGCUUUGUAACAGGAUUAACUAAAUGGUUGCCAAAUGACUGUCAUGUUAGUUUGUGCAACUGUAAGGACAAGGCAAAAAUAUUGUUGCUUGGAAUCUUCUUGAGUGAUGACAGAUUCCAGGAAUAGGAGAGAGAGCACCGGUGACUUAACAGAUUUUUUAAAAUAUUUGCAUUGCUUACAAAUACAUACUACUCAAAUCAUAGACUGGACCAUCCAAACUAAUUAGAUUACCAUGUCCCACUUGAUGCAGGAAAUCCAGAGCUAGACAUCCUCAACGGAUGGCUAGCCAGCCUUUACUUGAACACCUCCAGAAUGGUGGAGCCCACUACCUCACUACUUUGAUUCCAUACAGAAGUACAGCAUAAUCUCUCUGCCUGUUCCAAACUUCAGGCUGCUCUUACACACACUAUCCCCUCCCGUGUGUGUGUGUGUGUGUGUGUGUGUGAGAGAGAGAGAGAGAGAGAGAGAGAGAGAGAGAGAGCUUCCCCAAGUUCUGGUGGGUAUCUCAUUCAAACAGAAGGAUGGGAGAGAUUGCUGAUCAACAGCCCAGAGUAGUUGUUUAAUGGGGUUGGGAGAAGUUUGGGAGAUAGUUGACAAUCUCCCCAACAAAAGGAAUGAUUGGCUGACCACCAUAUACAGUGGUACCUUUGUUCUCAAACUUAAUCCGUUCUGGGAGUCCGUUCGACUCCUGAAACCGUUCAAAAACCAAGGCACAGCUGCAGAAGCUUCCUGCACUCUAUCGGAAGCUGUGUCAGACGUUCGGCUUCCAAAAAACAUUGGCAAACCGGGACACUUACUUCCGGGUUUGCAGCGUUUGGGAGCCGAUUUGUUUGACAACUAAACUGUUUGGGAACCAAGGUACCACUGUAUUGACUUUCCCAUUUCCUAACUGUCAUGGAGUUAAGUCUGUUACUGUCAUGAGCCCCAUGGCCCCAUCUGGAGCAGGCAUGGAUUGGCAGUCUCAGGCUAUUAAAGAUGAAGAGGAAGAAUCAGAAGGGAGAGUGAAUUGUGGGAACCAGGGAUGGAGGAUGGAGGUUCCUCCUGUGGAGUGGAGAACUUCCUUGGUAAAAUCCAAAACAGUGCAAGAGAAAAGCCUUAAUGAAAACAUUCCAGUGUGUAAAGAGGAGAAGCUAUGGGGGAUUACUUUAAACAAUAUUAAUUACUACCAACUUCAUUUUCAUAGGGAACUGACGUUGGUGGUGACUGAUAAUUUUUUAGCCAUUUAUCUGAGUAGAAAUACUCCGGGAUCCUUUAAUUAAAAUCUUUCACCUGCACUGUUGUGGGUUUUUGCCCCUUUUCCAUUUUGUUUACUUAGAUGUUAACCUAUCAACAGUUUGUAUAAUCCCUCUGUUCUAUUCAGUGUUUGCCUUCCUUUGUAUAAGCAACACUAUUAUCUCCUUGGGGUUCCAAUCACUGCUGACAUUAUUGGAUUUUCUAAUGAAAAUCCAAGCAAUUUAAAACAAAAUAAGACCCUGGGUUUCAAUCCGUUUUGACUCCACUGAAUCACACUGAGAUGUUGGUGUGUGAGCAUCUACUCUUGGGUUUUCAUUUUUUUAUGCAGCAGAGUUCCUUUUACAGAGAAGUUUUCCUGCUUAUUUUACUUAUUUACAGCAACAGCAAUAGCAGCAUUCCAGCUAUCUCUUAGUGAAAUUCUCAUUACAGGAAUAAACACCAUUUGGUUCUGUUUCUCAGAGUCUUUAUUAUUUACAAAAAGUUUACACUGGCUAUUAAUAAAGGAAACAAAACAAAUAAAGCAACAUAAUCUUUUUUCUCUAUUUAGCCAUCCAGCCAGAGACCUAAUGCUGACUCAUUCACAUUUAGACUGACCCAGACUUAGCUGAUUGCACUCCCUGAUAAGGACACCUGUUGCUGGGGAAAUUCUCCAUUGCCUAGCAACUCCUUCAAGGCCAUUUGCAAGUUUCUUCUACAAUAUUACAACACGAGAUGGCUACAAGAUUAUGUCAUUGUUGUUGCUGUUUGUUUGUGUUAGCAUUUACUUAGCACCAACAGCAAGAGAUUAUGUGAAUCUCUUUAUUCUAAAAAAAAAUCACCGCAUUGUUUUAGCGUGGUGGGGAGAUUGAGCUCAGCCUUUCAACAUGAACUUCAAAACAACAAGAAAUCUGAUCCUGGUACCCAGAUGGAUGAACUUCUGCUAGUACAACUUUAGCCAGUUCUUACUCAAGCCAUGAUACAUUUCAGUUUGGGAUCGCAGUGUACCACACAUAUACACAUCCAGUGCUGGCACUAGAUAUUGUGCUGCUUAAAAUGGAAUCCAAAUGGUGCUUUCUCCCACUCCCACAUUCUAGGGCAAGCUGCAACAUUCAUAUACCAAUUCCUGCCUCCAUCAGUUUGCUGCAUGCCAGAGCCAGCUCUGGGCCUAACCAUGCUUCAAGACCGAAAGCCAGUGGAGAAGUUAUUGGAACCGAGGCAAGCUUCCUAUGCAAGCAUCUGCUUCUGUGAGGAGUCUGCUCAUGUGAGCAGAAUAGCUUAAGGUAACAGGAUCUGAGGAACAUUGUGGCUCCUCAUUUGUGAUGUAAGGAUAUCUAUUUACCUGGGUGAAAUGGCAGCAAGUAACAUCUGCACUGCCUGUAAAUUAGAUGUUUGUUGGUAAACUAUGGGGUUGUGGUACAGAGGCAGAAAUGCAGCAGCAAAAUAAUAUUAACUGAUCCAGAUUGAAUUCAAACUAAUCUAAAAAUAAGCCAUAAAGAUGUGACGAUAACAAGUUUUCUUGAACUGUCAAAGAUCCAUUGUAUGAGUCUAAUGUUAAUUGCUUCAAGCACUUGUUGGAAAUGAUGCCCUUGAAUACAGAGGCAGCUGUUCAUUAAUAGUCUUGUGAUCUCUUGCUUUGCCAUUCCCUGUGUGGAGUUCGCUGUUCCCUUUUAUCUAUAUCAGCAGGAUGUCUUCUCUUGAGUGCAGAACUAAUCAUGAUAUGAGAUUUAGAGAUUCUUGGUUGGUUGUGUUUUUCUUGCAAAUUCUGUGCGAUAGAAAAACCCAGUGUUAGUUUAUGAGUUAGAAUACAUCCAUGUGAAAUGGUUUUUGCAUUUAGAGCUGGACAAACAACAAGCAAAGGUGGAUGUGUAUUCCCAACAAACAUUCUGAGAACAAAACAUAACUUGCUUGUGACCAAAUACCCUUGACUGAAAGGCUUGUUAGCUUGUCUCAUGACAACAACCCACAGAAUCAAUUGCAGCGAUUCCCUUCCGCUCCCCCUGUCUUUUGCCUCCAUACUCUAAAAGAGUAAGACAACCCCAGUCUGCAGAUACACAAACACAGCACUGGAUGGCAUGAUUAGCUUUUGACAACACCAGGCAUCUGUUUAAGAGAAGGGAGUCUGCAUGAUUUCUCCCUGCACCUCCAGUUGUUGAUUAGUGCUGGCUAAGGCAUGUACAGUCUCAGAUCUAGAACCAUAGAUAUGGCUCUAUCCAUAUUUCAAAUUAUUUGUUAUCAAUCAAACCAUGACAGUUGAUGGAACCUAGUAACAGAUAUUCAAGGUCCUUUGGGUUAUUGAGGACUUCCUGGAGGAUAUACGGUAGAUUUAGAUAAAUGGAUCCAGAUUUUGAUGUACAGAUUUUGAUAUGGGACGCAGGUGGCGCUGUGGGUAAAACCUCAGUGCCUAGGACUUGCUGAUUGUAUGGUCGGCGGUUCGAAUCCCCGCGGCGGGGUGAGCUCCCGUCGUUCGGUCCCAGCUCCUGCCCACCUAACAGUUCGAAAGCACUCUUAAGUGCAAGUAGAUAAAUAGGUACCGCUUUAUAGCGGGAAGGUAAACGGCGUUUCCGUGUGCUGUGCUGGUGCUGGCUUGCCAGCUGCAGCUUCGUCAUGCUGGCCACGUGACCCGGAAGUGUCUUUGGACGGCGCCGGCUCACGGCCUCUAGAGCGAGAUGAGCAUGCAACCCUAGAGUCGGACACGACUGGCCCGUACGGGCAGGGGUACCUUUACCUUUACCUUUACCUAUAAAGAAGGCUUAUCACCGAAGAAUUGAUGCUUUUGAAUUAUGGUGCUGGAGGAGACUCUUGAGAAUCCCAUGGACUGCAAGAAGAUCAAACCUAUCCAUUCUGAAGGAAAUCAGCCCUAAGUGCUCACUGGAAAGACAGAUCCUGAAGCUGAGGCUCCAAUACUUUGGCCACAUCAUGAGAAGAGAAGACUCCCUGGAAAAGACCCUGAUGUUGGGAAAGACUGAGGGCACAAAGAGAAGAGGACGACAGAGGACGAGAUGGUUGGACAGUGUUCUUGAAGCUACUAAUAUGAGUUUAACCAAACUGCUGGAGGCAGUAGAAGACAGGAGUGCCUGGCGUGCUCUGGUCCAUGGGGUCAAGAAGAGUCGGACGUGACUAAACGACUAAACAACAACAACAGUGAUGAUGAAUUCAGCUAGAACUCUUCUUACUAAAAUAUAAGUUCCCAGUUAUCACAGUAAAUAUAAGGUGUUGAAUUUCAAGGGUGAUUAGCAUUGCUGUUUUGCCAAAUAACACAGCAAAAAACUAUUGUUAGAUUGACCUGGCCCUGUCAUUCAAAUAAGCCCAAUUGACUAUUAGAAAAGCAACAGCACCAUGGAGAGCACCAGUUUUAUAUUCCUUUGGCACAAUCCCCACUGAAAUGAAUGGCAACUGUGAGUACACUCACGGUGGGUUGUGUGUUUUUGUGUGUAAAUAUGAAUGGCAUAGAUUGGACUUAACUCAGAACCAUAUUCCCAGUUGGUAAGGUCUACAAAUAUAUUUACAAAUCACAAAACCAAUAACAGCAGCAGUUUUCUUUUAUGUGUCUGCCGGGAUCUUGGCUCAUUGCCAUUGUUGACAGCACAUAUUCAAAUGUGUUUAGGAUUCAGACCACAUAUAGAAUCUAGGUUCCCUAACACAAAAUCUAAAAAUUGAUGUAAAAAGAGCUGCACAACCCCAAAAUAUGUAGAUGGUACAUUUCACGGCUGCUUUGAACACGCACAAAACGGUCGUUGCCUGUAUGUAAAUAUAUGUCACAGAAUCAUAAAGUCAUCAAAUUGUAGAGUUGGAAGGGACCACUGCGAGAAGUGAGGUUACAGGGAACCAGGCAGAGGGCCUUCUUGGUAGUGGUGCCCACCCUGUGGAACGCCCUCCCAUCAGAUGUCAAGGAAAUUAACAACUACCUGACUUUUAGAAAAUAUCUGAAGGCAGCCCUGUUUGGGGAAGUUUUUAAUGUUUGAUUCUAUUUCUUAUAUUCUGUUGGGAAACCCAGCCAGAUGAGCGGGGUAUUAUUAUUAUUAUUAUUAUUAUUAUUAUUAUUAUGUCUUGUCCAACCCCCUGCAGUGCAGGAAUCUUUUUGCCCAUUGUUGGGCUCGAACCCACAACCCAGAGAUUUAGAGCUGAAGCCAUUGUUCUGUUGUCCAAAUUGUGGAGAAGGGUUGAGGAAAGUUCUAGGAUUGGGGCUGUUAUUCUAGUCCCACUGAACUGGGAGUAAGCCGACCGAAACUCAAUGGAACUUGGUACUUAGUAGACAUAAUACUUUCUGCUGUAGGCCAUUUAUGUGUUCCUACUGCACUAAGAGCCAUUGGAUUGACUUGCUUCAGCACUUCACUGAUUUAUUUAGUGGAUUUUCCCCCAUUGUUUUUUUGUUAAUUAAAUAUAAAUAUACAUGCAUGAUAUGCUGGUUUGUUUUCAUUAUGUCUUUCCAUAGCAAGGCCCGAGGAAAAGAAUGCAAUCUGCUGAAUGCUGGCUUGAGUGAUUUACACCCUGUUCUACAUUAACUUACAGUUCAUGCCUGACUGAUUUUCCUCCGCCUCUCCUAAUUGAAGACCGGUCAUUUAUACUAUUUAUAAUUAGUUAAUGUGACAAGGAUGUAUGUGGUAAACAAAAGGGAGAUUAGAUUGAAGAAAGCAAUGUAGCUAAUAGAUAUCCUUUAAUUAAAAAUAAACUCUGAGCCAUAUUUCACACAUGCUUCAAAAUCAUUUUGAUCUUUGAGCCUUUUUUAUAGUUAUAAUGAUUGUGGAGGAAGAGUAGUAGAAAAAAAAUAAAAUGGGAAAAUGAACCAGAUAAAAGUCCUAGCCAGGUGUUUCCACUAAUGCAAUUCAAAUUGUAUGACAGCUGAUUGGAAAGAGGGACAACCUGCUGACCGACAACUGAGGGAUGAUGAGAUCAGUGAUAUCAGCAACCAACACAACCAACUCUUCUUCCUCAACAUUUAGAAGCACAAUUCAAAGUGUUGGUGCUGACCUUUAAAGCCCUAAACGGCCUUGGCCCAGUAUACCUGAAGGAGCGUCUCCACCCCCAUCAUUCUGCCUGGGCACUGAGGUCCAGUGCUGAGGGCCUUCUGGCAGUUCCCUCACUAUUAGAAGUGAGGUUACAGGGUUACAGGGUACCAGGCAGAGGGCCUUCUUGGUAGUGGCAUCCACCUUGUGGAACACCCUCCCGUCAGAUGUCAAGGAAAUAAGCAACUAUCUGACUUUAAGAAGAUAUCUGAAAGCAGUUUUUAAGUUUUUAAGGUUUGAUGUUUAUUAGUGUUUUUAAUAUUCUGUUGGGAGCUGUCCAGAGUGGCUGGGGAAACCCAGCCAGAUGGGCAGGGUAUAAAUAAUAAAUUUUUAUAUUAUUAUUCUCAUUGUGAUCAUACAAUGUAUCCCUCCUCACUUUUACCACUGAAGCUUCAAAAAAUUAAGAGACCUCAGCCCAUACAUAGUGAGGGGGGCUUGAUAGUGCUCGCCUGACUGUUGUAUCCCAUGACUAUUGUGCUCCUUUCAAUGUGUACAUCGAAUGCAUGUCCUGCCCCAGAUGUUGUGCACCCCACUGGCCCUGCCUCCCACGUCUGUGUGACAUUUGAAGGGGGAUCUCUGUGUGAAUGGUGUUCUCUCAAAAGGGUGGAUAUCCAAUGUACAUACAGCUGUAUCUCCUUUCAGAUGUCAUCCUGAAUAUACACUGUUUGGAGGCAGCUCAGUGGGACAUGCAAUGGGCAUGGGGUUGGUGGGAGUCCUGCCUAUCCCUCCAUGUGUUGGAUGAACUCCUCCAUUUGGGCACUUCUAGGAUUGUGCCCAUUGCAGCUUUAGCAGUGAAUCAGGCCAUCCAUUCUUCAUGUUUUUAAAGUCUCUUUAAACAAUUAUCCAUUGCUUGUCCAAUUUUAUCCUGCAUUCUGAGUGCACAGAAGCUUGGAGUCAGUGAAAGGACAUUUCUUAAUUUAGCAUGUGGUCUUGAAAAUGAUAUUGGCAGUUUCAUUUCAUCAGACUGUCUGGAUGGCUGAGCAUUGCCUGAUUAGUUAUUACAUUACAUUAUUGAUGUUUUGUCACAACACUUUGGAAAGUUAAUGCAGGCAUGAGAGAGCACCCAAACAACAGUAAGCCUUGCUGUGUUUCUAUUAAGCAUAUCACUUGAGUGUUUGGUGUGUAUAGAGAGUGGGACUGUAAAAAUCUAGUGAAAUUAUACUUUUCGGAUGGGACUCAGAAGUGAUCACAAAGAUAAUAGAUAAUAGCAUUAAACAACUUUGAGUAAGCCCUUAUGUUUAAUAUUGGUUUACAGUAAUGCUUCCCUUAUUUGUUUCCCCAUGACACAUAAAAAUGUCAUGCCUGCAAAUUUACAUAUCCUGAAUACUUAUCUCUGUGUGAUGCCCAUAGUCUCUGUGGGCAACUGUAUCUGCAGAUGUAAUUGUAGCCUCUACAAUGUAAAACUCUAGGAAAUGUUCUUGUAGCAGCAAGUGGUGAGCCUUUCAUCUAAAGACAACAGCCCAUCAUUAGCUGCUAAAGUGAAUCCCUGUGGCAUUUUAUAUCCUUCCUCCACAGAAACUGUUGAUAACCAUUUACAAGGGUGUGUUGGUGUAUUGUCGUUGUUUAAAAAAAAUCUUAAGUGUGAACAAUCCAACAAAAGUUAGUUGGUUUCUGACUUAAGUCCUCUUUAAUGGAACCUAAGCUCAGGCAGAGCUCAAGGUUAUGUAACAAACAGUACUUAAUUGUUUAAAGAAUUAAACUGCUUAGAGGUUUUAUUACAAUCAAGCAAUAUACAUAUGUUGUGAAACAAACAAAUAAAAUACAGGCAAAUUUAACCAAUUGAAGCUCCCUGCUCAGGAGACGGCACACUGAAGGGAAGGAGAAAAACACACCAAUCUAUGCUCCGUAUCAGGUUUUUGUUGUUGUUUAGUUGUUUAGUCGUGUCUGACUCUUCGUGACCCCAUGGACCAGAGCACGCCAGGCACUCCUGUCUUCCACUGCCUCCCACAGGCAUAGUUAGUUAUUCCUCUCUCAUGCACAGCAGCUGCUUUCCAACAGUCCUAUGCCAUUUCUGUGGGUGGGGGUGGGGAGAGGGGUUGGGAGGGAAGGAGAGAUACUAAAAAUUAGGCAUGCAUGUUGGGAGGGCCAGUUCUGUGGUUUCCCCCACCCACCCACCUCACCCAAUAGCACUAUCCCAUCCAAAGUGAAUGGCACGUCUUCAGGAAAUUUCCAGAAGCUUUGACCCACAUGGCAUAAUGUGGUAAUGUCAUAAUCUUCCAUGGAAAAAAGGCUUCCUGAGUACUUAGGAGAAACUAUACAUCCAAACCAACUGAACCAUGCAAGGAGAUUCUCAGGGUCACACUCAAGGUCAUUUCGAGCCAGUGUGGUGUAGUGGUUAAGAGUGGUGGACUUGUAAUCUGGUGAACUGGGUUCGAUUCCCCGCUCCUCCACAUGCAGCUGCUGGGUGACCUUGGGCCAGUCACACUUCUCUGAAGUCUCUCAGCCCCACUCACCUCACAGAGUGUUUGUUGUGGGGGAGGAAGGGAAAAGGAGAUGGUUAGCCGCUUUGAGACUCCUUCGGGUAGUGAUAAAGCGGGAUAUCAAAUCCAAACUCUUCUUCUUCUUCUUCCCCAAGAACCACAAAUGUUUCACUCUCAUAUUUGUGCUCUGGUUAGCAACUACCAGCACAAUUACAACGAGAAUGAUCCAGGGAUUUCUGGCACAUACACAAAGCUCCCACAUGAGCAAAUUCUUUCCUGUACAGCUCUUUAGGCACGCUGUCACUGAUGACAUCUCAACGUUCUGUCCAAGAACAGUGCCAGGCAGGAUGUGUGACACUCAGACGCUGAUAGGAGGAGAGAACAUUUUCGCAGUUGGAAGAUCCUGCGUAAGGAGAAAGGAAAACAACAAGAGCCAUCAUUGUGUGCGCACACAUGAAGAUUAAAAGUAGCAGCUAAGCUUAUUUUCAAUGGAACAAAUAGUGCUUUGUCGCUUUACACCAGAUGGCACGACUCGUGACCCACCAAGCUGAAAGUAGCCUGUCUGCAUAUGGAAGCAUGUUUGAUGCUUGACAGCCCCUAUGUUUGUAAAGUCCCAAGCAAGGAGCAUAAAUGGGAGAUUUAUCAAGUCUCUGGUGGGCUUCUGGUGGGCUCAGGUUGGACUGAUGCAAACCUUUCAUAAAUUCUGCAGACCUGUUUUAUACACUGUGACAAACUGGUGGUCGUUGUUUUAAUUUCAGGAAAUUCACUUUUUAAAAGGAUGAUGCUGAGCUGAUAGGCAGCUGAGUGCAAAAUCUCUGUUAAGGUUUUGCUAAAACCGUGAUAUACACUGGGAGUGUGCACCAGCCACAAUAUUUUACUUGUAUCUAUCUGUACCUAUAGCUUUUAUUCUUACAGAUAUGAGUCUGUACCUAUAGUUGUACCCAAUCUGUUUAGGAGUCAAUCUGUGUCUUUGAUCAAUUUGAUCUAUUAAAAAUGAAGUUCAGCCAUCGUCCCCCUCACCCCUUCAUUAUAAUGGGGGAUCAAAAAAUAACUACAACUUCUUUUUCCUGUUCAUAGAAGCUGAUGAAGUUUGUAGCCAUGGGAGCUGCUCCAGAGUGGAUAAAGUCUGUCAAAUUGUAGGUUGUUAUAUACAGGAGGGUUUGUGCAGGGUUUUGUGUUUAUAUUUAAAAAAAGAAGUCUCUUUUUAUUUUCUGCCAGGUAAGGUCACCCCUCCUGAGGGGGUUGAAGCCUGACAGAUUUCAUAACGAUAGCUGCAAUGAUUCUCCAACAAGGGAAAAUGUUACCAUUUGAGGGCAUGUAUAGAAGUGCAGGAUUGUGGUGAUGGAGAAAAGGAUUUAUCCAAAGCACAACUCAUCCUGGACCAUCAAGAUUUUUACAUGGGAU